GAUGAACGCUGGCGGCGUGCCUAAUACAUGCAAGUCGAGCGAACAGACCAUGAGCUUGCUCCGCUCACGUUAGCGGCGGACGGGUGAGAAACACGUGUAUAACCUACCUGUAAUACUGGGAUAACUUCGGGAAACCGGAUCUAAUACCGGAUAAUAUAUUGAACCGCAUUGUUGAAUGGUGAAAUUCGGUUUUUCUGGCACGUCUCGAUGCAUCCGGGCGGCAUUAGCUAGUUGUUAAGGUAACGGCUUUCCAAGGCAAGGAUGCGUAUCCGACCUGAGAGGGUGAUAGGCCACACUGGAAGUGGGCCGCGGACCAGAGUCCUACGGGAGGCCGCAGUAGGCAAUGUGACGCAAUGGGCGAAAGCAUGGCGGAGCAACGGGGAGUGAGUGAUGACAGUCUUGGGAGCGUAAAACUCUGUUAUUAGGGAAGAACAAAUGUGUCAGUAAAUAUGCACGUAUUGACGGUAACUAAUAAGAAAGCAACGGCUAACUACGUG
rnacentral:rRNA from 1 species